AGAGUUUGAUCCUGGCUCAGAAUCAACGCUGGCGGCGCGCUUAACACAUGCAAGUCGAACGAGAAAGGGGAGCAAUCCCUGAGUACAGUGGCGUACGGGUGAGUAACACGUGGGUAAUCUACCUUCUGGUGGGGAAUAACCCUGGGAAACCGGGGAUAAUACCGCAUAAGUCCGAGAGGAGAAAGCAGCAAUGCGCCGGAAGAGGAGCCCGCGGCCGAUUAGCUAGUUGGUAGGGUAACGGCCUACCAAGGCAGAGAUCGGUAGCCGGCCUGAGAGGGCUCACGGCCACACUGGCACUGAAACACGGGCCAGACUCCUACGGGAGGCAGCAGUGGGGAAUCUUGCACAAUGGGGGAAACCCUGAUGCAGCGACGCCGCGUGAGCGAUGAAGCCCUUCGGGGUGUAAAGCUCUUUCGGCAGGGAAGAUGAUGACGGUACCUGCAGAAGCAGCUGCGGCUAACUACGUGCCAGCAGCCGCGGUAAUACGUAGGCAGCAAGCGUUGUUCGGAAUUACUGGGCGUAAAGGGUGUGUAGGCGGUUUGGUAAGUCUGGUGUGAAAUCUCCUGGCUCAACUGGGAGGGUGCGCCGGGGACUGCCGGACUCGAGUGCGGGAGAGGAGAGUGGAAUUCCUGGUGUAGCGGUGAAAUGCGUAGAUAUCAGGAGGAACACCGGUGGUGUAGACGGCUCUCUGGACCGUAACUGACGCUGAAACACGAAAGCGUGGGUAGCAAACAGGAUUAGAUACCCUGGUAGUCCACGCCCUAAACGAUGCAUAUUUGGUGUGGGUCAUUCAGUUGAUCCGUGCCCGGAGCUAACGCGUUAAAUAUGCCGCCUGGGGAGUACAGUCGCAAGGCUGAAACUCAAAGGAAUUGACGGGGCCCGCACAAGCGGUGGAGCAUGUGGUUCAAUUCGACGCAACGCGAAGAACCUUACCUGGGCUCGAACG
rnacentral:rRNA from 1 species